UCCGGUGGCAAUGUCAGAGGGGCCACACCCGAUCCCAUCCCGAACUCGGAAGUUAAGCCCUCUAGAGCCAAUGGUACUGCACGGGAAGCUGUGUGGGAGAGUAGGACGCCGCCGGUU
rnacentral:rRNA from 1 species